AUGGAUCACCCGUCCACUCUGGUUCCUGCACGCCGCCCGUACCCGCCUGGCGACUGCUCGCUAACCGCUCUUACUGCAGAGGCUGAUCGCC
rnacentral:sRNA from 1 species